rnacentral:lncRNA from 1 species
GGUGGAGCUAGCUUUAUUAUAAGCAGUUUUGGUGGAGUUUUGAUAGUAGUAGAUGGGUUUUGAUUGUUGGAUACUAUAACACCUAUGGCAAAACUUCAUGCUACAUAGGAAGGUAUGUCAUAUACUUUGAAAAUUUUGAAAACUACUCAAAUUAUUCUUUUUUUUGGUAAAGUACUCAAAUUAUUCUUUAAGGAGUUCUUUGAUAGUUGUUAGAUGG